GCGGCCAUGGUGGAAUCGGUAGACACCGGAGACUUAAAAUCUCCUGCCUUCGGGCGUGCCGGUUCGAGUCCGGCUGGCCGUACCA
rnacentral:tRNA from 17 species